AAUUUGCACCGUUCUGAGUAGA
rnacentral:miRNA from 1 species